rnacentral:rRNA from 1 species
GACGAACGCUGGCGGCGUGCUUAACACAUGCGAGUCGAACGGAAAGGCCUUUUCGGAGGUACUCGAGUGGCGAACGGGUGAGUAACACGUGGGUGAUCUGCCCUGCACUCUGGGAUAAGCCUGGGAAACUGGGUCUAAUACCGGAUAGGACCGCACUUUAGUGUGUGUGGUGGAAAGUUUUUUCGGUGUAGGAUGAGCCCGCGGCCUAUCAGCUUGUUGGUGGGGUAAUGGCCUACCAAGGCGGCGACGGGUAGCCGGACUGAGAGGUUGGUCGGCCACAUUGGGACUGAGUUACGGCCCAGACUCCUACGGGAGGCAGCAGUGGGGAAUAUUGCACAAUGGGCGCAAGCCUGAUGCAGCGACGCCGCGUGGGGGAUGACGGCCUUCGGGUUGUAAACUCCUUUCGCCAGGGACGAAGCGUUUUGUGACGGUACCUGGAGAAGAAGCACCGGCUAACUACGUG